GUGCUCACCUCAGCAGCACAUAUACUAAAAUUGGAACCAUUCAGAGAAUAUUAGCAUGGCCUCUGCUGCAAAUUUGUGAAGUUUUCCAAAUUAAA
rnacentral:snRNA from 1 species